UUCACUCUCUUUCCCUCAUCACUCACUCUCUCUCAUCUCAAACUCUCUCACUGCUCUCAAAACACCACCAUUGCCACUGUCCACCCCCUCUGGCGAGCUCCACAUGAACCACCAUAGCAACCACUUGCUGUAGAUUUCUCAGCAAAUCACCACUAACCUCGAACUCCCCCAAAACACUAUUGUCUCUCCUUUGCAAACGAAAACAAACCACUGUUGACACCAUGUUCUCCAGCAAGAUCUUUGCUUUCCGACUAAUGGUGAGAUUACUAUCGAAGACUCCGACUUCCCUCGUUCGAAUGGCUACAACUUUGCAAGUAUCUGUGAGCGGAUCUUUUCUUUUAUAUAGUAUUUAUACUUAUUGAGUUUCCAUAUAUAUAAUUAUUAAUGAAUUUUCUACGUGAUUGCCAUAAUUAAUUAACGGUUGUAAGGAAAUGUCGUAUUGUUGGGAAAUUAUUAUUAAUCGUAUGGGAUACACAGGUAAGCGGACUAUGGAGAAUACCUUAUUUACAUUUAUGGUAGUGAAUAGUAUUAUGACGACAUAAAUUAUUGAUUUACCGUUGUA